rnacentral:lncRNA from 13 species
ACGUUCAUGUACUUCGAGCACCAUAGAUCCACGCUCUCUAAGUAGCCAUUGUGUUCUGUAUAUAUAUACUUCUUCAGCUUUACACUGAACCCUGAAACAAUUACAGUCGGACUAUUUUCACUGACGGACCGGAAACUGUGGUCCGACUGAAAAAACAGUUCCCCUUGGAAACAACGAAACGUUGACUCGCUUGUGCAUCAUUUCCAUAUAUAGUUAAAGCGUGUUAGCGUUAAAUUAAUCAGGAAUUUUGUGUAACCUGACUUGCCUUUCUCGUCACGCUUGGAGAACAAAGUUCCAUAACUUUAGUCAACGUUUGGUAUGGAAUCACGGAUGUAUUUGGGACAAAUUCAGAUAGAUCCCUCUCGACUUUGUUCCGUUUGUGUUUUGCAACAGAAUUGGCGUAAUCUGUUGCAAUUUCUGAUCUCACGCUAACAUCCUCCUGUCCUCGGCUGGAUUUCCCAAAAGCAUCAUAGUACUAAAAUAAUCUUAAUUCCAUUGAAAUUAAAUUAACGAAAGAUGAUUGUAGUGCAACGAUUCUUUUGGGAAAACCAGCUCUUGUCUGGGCAUCAUUUCUGCCACCUGUAGGAGGAGGUUGAAGCUGCACGAUCAAGUUAAACUAAGUGACAAUAAGCCAAGUCUUAACGUUUUUAUGAUCGAAAUGAAUACUGGAAGGUUGACAGUUGGACUUUUGUGAGCCUAACUUUUUCUUUAUGAAUUUCAGGAGUCUUUCUCUCUGUCACCCAUGAAGUGCUCUUCUCCUCACCUGCGCCCAACAACUGUACAACAGCCAACAUGCCCCGUUUCCUACUGUCGAAGCCAAGAGGAGAAGACCAUCCUGACGACAGAAGAGGUUCACCUACAGCUACUGCUGUCUGCCGUGGCCUCCCAGGUGUCCCAUCCGGAGAACAUGGAAGAGAACACCCUGAUUAUUUUACGAAAGGACGUACUCCGCUCUGCCACCAAGGCAUUCAGCUGGAAACUAUUCAACCUCAGAGGUUCAAUGUGAGGGGUCAGUCGACCAACAUGGUCAAACACAGGAGUUCCUUCAGCUGUUGAUGGCAGCCAUCCAAGACUGUUGUUUGUUCCAGGGGCCAGACCACUGCAAAAGCCUAGUAUUGGACUAGUAUUGUAAGAUCGCACUGUUUAUAUGUUCAAAUAUGACACUUUCUAUCUAGUCCUAGAACUCUGUCCUGUUGUAUCACUUUCAGUGUACUCCAAGCAGAGUGAACUAUAAGGUCCUAUAUGGUAUAUUACUACAUAGAUAGGUGGCCUCUUAUGCACUUUCCAUAGUAAACCCCCCCCCCC